AAUGAUCGUAUUCCCGGGAAAGCGGCCGUCACGAACAGUGAAAUUUCUAACUAGGAGUUCUAAUAGCUCGAUUUAACGAUUAUUCCUUCGAAAACUUUUUAUUGAACGGACCGGAAAUCGACUUUUCAGGUUUGAAAAUAAUUAUGAAGAAAAUUAUCCAAUAUUAAGGUCAUAGUGAAUGUAUCAUAAGGGCGAUAAUAUAAUGUAAAAUUUCUUUUAUCUCUUUUUAAAAGCCAUCUAAGAGGACAAAGGAAAAAAUGUACUCUAUUCUUUUUUUUUUCAUUACAAAUAUGCCAAGUCGGUUGUCCGAUGAACGCCAGUGACGAUGAACGAAACGGCGCAGCUAGUUUGAAACCAAAACCGACUAUUAGAUGCACGGGUUGCGCUAGCGCGACGGAUUUACGUCAAAUAGGCCGUACCCAACCGGCAGAAAAAAGAGAAUCACAGGACGAUACAGUGGUGAGGAGACGACCUACAAAACUGAAUACAUCAUCGAAUAUUAGGUAUUCAAUGAAUAUUAGCGAAAACGCCCGGCUUGAUUUUUUUGUCGAGAAAAAUGUAUUAGAGCAGGUGGCUGAUGGACUGCCAUCAGCCUCUACCUGCUCCCUAUUGGAAACUAUAUCCCUAUUGGAUUCACCCGCCGUACAAAAUAGCAACUGCAGUGACUGUGGUCAAAGUGCACCAAGCGAUACACCCGCUAUUGCUCCAUCGACGCCGGCUAAAACCGUUGAAGAAAAAGAAAUGGCUCGUAGAUGUUCGGUUCAGGAGAGGAAUGAACGAGUUUUAAAAUGGCUGGACGGCAUGGAAGAAUCACAAAGCUGAUGGUUUUUUUUGUACCCUUUCUUCUUCCUGCAACUCUAUCGACUGUAUAAUCUGAAAAAAUUAAUAUUUAAAAAAACAAAAGCCUAUGUAUCAACUAAUAAAAAAUUACGUAAUACAUUUAUAAAGUAAAUAAAAUAAAUUCCCGGAUAAAAAUCAGAAGAGCAAUACUUUUCGUAACGAAAAGUAUAUUGCGUAAUUUUCAUAUUUUACAUGGAAAAAUUUUUU
rnacentral:misc_RNA from 1 species